rnacentral:rRNA from 1 species
AGCAGCCGCGGUAAUUCCAGCUCCAAUAGCGUAUAUUAAAGUUGCUGCAGUUAAAAAGCUCGUAGUUGAAUUUCGGGGUUAGUAGGUUGGUCAUGCCUCUGGUAUGUACUGGUCUCACUGAUUCCUCCUUCCUGAUGAACCUUAAUGCCAUUAAUUUGGUGUUUUGGGGAAUUUGGACUGUUACUUUGAAAAAAUUAGAGUGUUUAAAGCAAGCUAACGCUUGAAUACAUUAGCAUGGAAUAAUGAAAUAGGACGUUCGAUCCUAUUUUGUUGGUUUCUAGGAUUGACGUAAUGAUUAAUAGGGAUAGUUGGGGGCAUUAGUAUUCAAUUGUCAGAGGUGAAAUUCUUGGAUUUAUUGAAGACUAACUACUGCGAAAGCAUUUGCCAAGGAUGUUCUCAUUAAUCAAGAACGAAAGUUAGGGGAUCGAAGACGAUCAGAUACCGUCGUAGUCUUAACCAUAAACUAUGCCGACUAAGGAUCGGAUGAUGUUAAUUUUUAAUGACUCAUUCGGCGCCUUAA